ensembl:lncRNA
AUGCUGGUGCCGGGCGUAACCGCUGACUUGGGUCCUUGUUGCUUCCCUGGUCCCCUGAUUCCUCCCUUGGGGUGGGCUGAGCGCGCGCACGGUGGCCUGCCACACCUGGGCGGGGCCGCGCGCAGGGCGUGGUCACUGAGGUUGUGCGCAUGCUCACUUGAGGAGUUCUUCCCUUACCGAUCCAGCGUUCCUGGAGGAAGGUCACGUACCGGUUACACGCCACCAUUUUGCCCUCAGUGCGCAUGCUUGAGCUCACUCACUCCACUCCUGAGAUCUUACUGGGAUCAUCACCAGUUUCAGGUCCCUAUUUUGUCUCUGCCUGGGCCGGCCUGUCUGGGGGACAGUGUUCUAGGGUCACGUGCACAUCCUGCCUCCGAGCAGCUGCCUGACAUAGGCCCCCACAAGAGCAGGGAAGAUGAGCAGACACAUUCCAUGAUGGCUGGGUGAAGAGGCAGGCAGUGGGGUGAGCUGGGUGAAAACCAAAGGUCCUUGCCCGGCCCUUCCCUGGCUGUGUGCUGUGGGGCCUGGACUCCCCUCUCUGAGUUUCAGUUUCCUGUUUCUUUCUUUUUAAAAAAAAAAAAAAAGAAAGAAAGGAAGAAAAAGAAAGAAAAGAAGAAAGAAAAAAGAAGAAUGAAAGAAAGAAAGAGGAAGAGAAAGAGGGAGAGAGAACGGGAAUCUUGCUCUAUUGCCCAGGCUAGAAUGCAGUCUAAAAAUGUGUAUUGAAAACCUCUUUUAUGCCAAUAAUUGUGCUUAGCAAUGGAGACAGGAAGGAAUAAGGGAGGAAAAUAACAAACAAACAGCCAAUCGAUAUUUCAUUUAAACCUGUGAAAUGCUAUGCAGUUGCUGAGGAGUGAUUUACUUCCAAUUAUGUGGUCACUUUUAGAAUAGGUGUGAUGUGAUACUGAGAAAAACGUAUGUUUUGUGGAUUUAAGGUGGAGAGUUAUGUAAAUGUCUAUUAAGUUUACUGUUCCAGGUCUGAGUUCAAGUCCUGGAUAUCCUUGUUAAUUUCUGUCUCUUUGAUCUGUCUAAUAUUGACAGUGGAGUGUUAAAGUCUCCCACUAUUAUUGUGUGGGAGUCUAGGUCUCUUCAUAAGUCAUUAAGAACUUGCCUUAUGUAUCUGGGUGCUCCUGUAUUGGGUACGUAUAUAUUUAGGAUCGCUAGCUCUUCUUGUUGUAUCGAUCCUUUUGCCAUUAUGUAAUGGAGGACAGGUAAUUUAUAUUACCUGUUACAUUAAUAGGUUUAUCCUAAAUAAAUCAAAAAGAGCAUCCUAAAAAUGCGAUUAUUUCUCCAAAUUCAUUAAUUCAUUGGUUUGUAUUUAAAGCUGGCAGUGCCCUCUUCUCUGCUGUUUUGCUGUCAGAUUUUCCAGUCUUACAAGUGUCCAUUUGCUAGUCGUGUAUGUGAACACGUCCAGUCCGUCUGGCAGUGGACUCUGACACCCCCCACCUCUGGUCUUCUGGCAUCUCUUGUCCCCGUGGCUGGCAUUCAAACCCAGAUGUCUGAGUUUCCAAGGACUAUGUUUUUCCAUGUGUCACAGAAACUCUAACGCUGUCUGCAGUCUUACUGUGACCGUGAUCACUUUUGCUCUUGUGAGACACACGGUCCUUCAGCUCAGAUUUGGCCAUCAUACUUUUAAUUCCCACUCUCAUUUGGCUCUUAACACAAGUUUAAAAAGAAUAUGGAAAAGCUCUGAAGAAAACCUCACCCUCUUGCACCUUCCUGAAGGAAGAACCAACUGCUAUCUCCCUCCCAGUGAGGAAGAGAGGAAGAACCUCCUAUUUUCAGAGGUGGCCUAUGGAGGAGAAAACCCCAGUUUCCAUCCACAGGGUGGUCUCUCGGGAAGAUUCUGGGGCCAUCCUAGAAGAGUUAGGUGGGAGGGGCAGGAUGUGGUGGCUCACGCCUGUAAUCCCAGCACUUUGGGAAGCCAAGGCGGGCCAAUUGCUUGAGGUCAGGAGUUCGAGACCAGCCUUGCCCAACAUGGUGAAACUCCUUCUCCACUAAAAAUACAAAAAUUAGCUGGGCAUGGUAGUAUGUGCCUGUAAUACCAGCUAUUUGGAAAACUGAGGCUGAAGAAUCACUUGAACCUGGGAGGUGGAGGUUGCGGUGAGCCAGGAACAUGCCACUGUACUCUAACCUGAGUGACAGAGUGAGACUCGGUCUCAAAAAAAAAGUUAGG